rnacentral:rRNA from 1 species
AGGUCGCCGUACGUGACCUGCGGAGGGACAUUACACAAAUAUGAAGGCGGGCUGGAACCUCUCGGGGUUACAGCCUUGCUGAAUUAUUCACCCUUGUCUUUUGCGUACUUCUUGUUUCCUUGGUGGGUUCGCCCACCACUAGGACAAACAUAAACCUUUUGUAAUUGCAAUCAGCGUCAGUAACAAAUUAAUAAUUACAACUUUCAACAACGGAUCUCUUGGUUCUGGCAUCGAUGAAGAACGCAGCGAAAUGCGAUAAGUAGUGUGAAUUGCAGAAUUCAGUGAAUCAUCGAAUCUUUGAACGCACAUUGCGCCCUUUGGUAUUCCAAAGGGCAUGCCUGUUCGAGCGUCAUUUGUACCCUCAAGCUUUGCUUGGUGUUGGGCGUCUUGUCUCUAGCUUUGCUGGAGACUCGCCUUAAAGUAAUUGGCAGCCGGCCUACUGGUUUCGGAGCGCAGCACAAGUCGCACUCUCUAUCAGCAAAGGUCUAGCAUCCAUUAAGCCUUUUUUUCAACUUUUGACCUCGGAUCAGGUAGGGAUACCCGCUGAACUUAA